rnacentral:rRNA from 1 species
CCUACGGGGGGCUGCAGUGGGGAAUAUUGCACACUGGGGGAAACCCUGAUGCAGCAACGCCGCGUGGGUGAUGGAGCGUUUCGGCGCGUACAGCCCUUUCAGCGGGGAAGAAGAAAGACGGUACCCGACCAAGAAGCCCCGGCUAACUACGUGCCAGCAGCCGCGGUAAUACGUAGGGGGCGAGCUUUAUCAGGAAUUACGGGGGGUAAAGGGAGCGUAGACGGGGAGGUAAUCCUGGAGUGGAAUCCCUCGGCCCAACCGCGGAAGUGCUUUUGGAACCGUGUUGCUGGAGUAUGGGAGGGGUAAGCGGAAUUCCGGGUGUAGCGGUGAAAUGCGUAGAUAUCAGGAGGAACACCGGUGGCGAAGGCGGCUUACUGGACCAUAACUGACGUUGAGGCUCGAAAGCGUGGGGAGCGAACAGGAUUAGAUACCCUUGUAGUC